rnacentral:lncRNA from 1 species
GUUAGGAUCUCGGGGUCCAUUUCAGUUUGGAAAGCAUUUAGGGGGGGUGUUCUUGUGAGACACUAGCUGCUGCCCCGAGGAGUCCUCUCUUCUUCAGGGUCUUUACCCCCCAGCUUUGGGGUGGCUGCCCAGCUCCCUUUGUGACCUGUGGUUGCCCAUCUCCUUCCUGCUCCCCUGAGGUCCUGGUGGGGGCAGGCAGGCCCACUUGGCACAGGUUGAGUUUCAAUAUACCUGCAGCUCCAGGAACAGAGUGGGGCCCGAGCUGGGCUGCUCCAUGUGGCCAAGGAGAAGUCCUUUGCCAGACCCUGAGCUGGGGUCCUCCAUGCUCAGGAAUUGCCAUGGCCUGGCAUCUGGGCACUGACCCCUCCUGGUGGGGUUACAGGGCAUGCGCAGCAUUUCCUGAGUAGGGCUGAGUAGGGUCUCCCCAGAAGUCACAUCCAUCUGAAGCCUCAGAACGUGACUUUAUCUGGAGUCUGCAGAUUAAGCAUAAUCAGUCAUUUGGUGGAAGAAGUUUAACAGCAGAAGAGAAAAGGGAUUCCUCUUGCGUGACUUCGAUUCUCUGGGAGGUGCUGAGGCUUGUGCGUGACGGGCCAUGCCAUGGUAUGUGUGGUGGAUGCCCCGUGUCCCCGAGGGGCAGGUGUUCUACACACAGUGCCGACUGGGGAAUUCUGUGGCUAUGCACGCAGUCAUUUCCAUCCAAAUCUACAUCUGUACUGGCUGUGUCUCAUCGUCCCUCCGGACAGCAUAGAAGGACCACAGAGAUGGCAGGUCCCCGUGUGAACAUGCUCUAGUUGUGGGUUCAGGAGGCGUCCUUGGAGAUGGGGUGGGAGAGGUGAUCCUGGAUCAGCCGCUGAGCUCUAAUCCUAAUGACAAGAGUCCUUGUGGUAGAGACGCUGUGGGAUAUUUGACACAAAAGGAAGAAUUUGUGUGGGGAGAGGUUUGAAGGGGCUUUGCUCCUGAAGUAGGAGGGAGGGACAUGAAGCAGGAGCAGCCUGCUGCCCUAGAUGGAGGUAAGGAACCGGGUCCCUUCCAAGAGCCUCUGCAGCGAGCGUGGGCCUGCUGGCACCUUGGUUUUAGCCCAGUGAGACUGACCUGGGACUUCUGACCUCCAGAGCUGGGAGAGGCCCGUUUGUG